GAAAGGGAAAAAAAACACCCUUUGGCUGAACUGUCUAAUCUCUGAAGACUAAAAGUUCAGGCGGCCUUUCUCUGGGCAACACGAGACCCACAACAGGCUGUUCCACCCAACAUUUUGUAUUCUGACCUUCGUGAUCUUUGCUACAAAAGGAAAAAUUGUUAGUGGAGAAGAGGAAAGCAGAGAAGGUUUUACCAGCCACCUUUUUCUUUUGUAAAGCAGGAGUUAUCUUUAAUCCCUUCUGUAGUGCUCUAAGCUAUUCCCCUGCUCCUGCAGAACACCAAAGUAUCUGCCCAAGUUUAAGGCUGCAAAUAACCCUCCUCACUGCAUUAUCCCUUUAAGGGACUGCAUUAUUCCCUUUAAGGGAAGCCACCUUAGACAUGAGGGCUUUUUGUAGUGAAGGCUGUUGAAGUUCCAGCGAGUCGUGCUCCAGCGAAGUCCCCAGACACACAAUGCAAUCUUCUCCUGACAUUCAUCAACCAUUGUAUAAGUCUCAAGGAAUCACAACCAGCUUAAAGAUCAGAGGAUUUUUCUUUACAAUGGCACAGGACUACUACACAGUCUGUGAGAUGGGUGGUUCUACCACUUGCUGUACUAAAGGCACCAGAGAGUCAAUUAAACUCAGUGAAAAGGAACAAGGGACUUCAAUGAGUCUUUGGAUUCAGCUUGCUUUUAUGUAAUAAAAUUGAAAGAAACACCGAGUAGUUAUAUCAACAUCAGGAACAAUAAGAAGAAUAAAAAUCAAAUGGAAGGUACCAGAUAUCACUGUUGCUCUCUCAACUCUGAUGCCAAAGCCCAAGGAAGUGGAAAAGGAAGACGAGCCCAUUUGUAGCGUGGGGAAUCUCUAGCUGGCUCCUCCUCCGGUGAAAUGCAGUGACCAGGGGAGAGCUCUUCCCAUUCUCUACCCAUGUCCAGGAAUGCAAAGUCACCCAGGCUCAGAUUCAACAUUUUGUCCUGCCUGCUGUAAUUACAGGGUUUGAGCCCAUCUCCUGCUGAGAGCUGGAGAUGUGACCCAAACUCUGGGGGUGAGUUGCCAGAGACAGAAUCACAGAGAAAAAAUCCUUAUGCUCUUUCACCAAGGAUCUGCUACUUGUUACUGUCACAUACAAAAUAGCAGAUAGCCAUUUUCUGUACAUCUAUCCAUGCCUCACGUCCUGUCACAACGAUUCCUCACAGUCUAACAAGUCUAUGCUCCUUGCUACACAAAAAACAAUGUGGACAACAUCCUUGUUAUGUUCCUGUUUCAUACCUGCAGCAGAGAGAGCUCCUUCUGCCACAAAACAUGUUGUAUUGCACACCAGGCUCAUCCAGCAGAAUCAGGGAAUAAUUGAUCAUAAUUGGAUAGAGACUGUAAAAGUAUCAAUGCAUAUGUGUGCAAGGUAUAUAACUAAGUAUCCAAGCCACAGUUCAAGCAAGCAAAUAUGGCUGGUAAGGAUUUUGAAUGUCUAACUUUUUUCAGACCUGUGAAAAUCCUUAUUUACAAACACGAAAAGUGUGUUCUAUGCAAAACUGACUAUAAGUAUCAGGAGGACCAAGUUACCACAGCACCCAGAAGCACAGCUGGAGGGUAGAAUAAGGAAAAUGUCAGACUCUUGUUUUAAGAGGAAUUGCUCAAAGUUCCUUAAAGGUAGCUAAUUCAGCAGCUACUGGUCAAGACCGACAGGGACAAUGCAGGUAGAAAGGACUGUGUGAAAAUCUCUGCCUUUUGAUCUACUUGAAAGGAUGGGGCAAUCUGCCAUGCAAUGGCCAAUCUACUAACCCUUGAACUAUGGUAAAUGCUACAUCAACCUCUGCCUUCCUUGUUGUUUGGAUCAGGGUGUUGCAGAAGAAAACCUUCACUCUUGUCACAGAGACUUGAACGUGUGAAGCAGGGUGAAUUCAGAAUGUCUUAGUGUCUAAAACAUAUAGUGUUAUAUUUGCAGCAUCUGCUCCUUCUUCUAAUUUUAUCAUUUAAACAUCAUGAGAAAAUCCUUCUUGCUUACAAAACAUAUAUAUUUUGUAUUGUAAGCAAAGACUAUGUGUUUUGUGCUCCAGUAUUUUUUUUCUAUGCAAACAUUUUGAGCAACUGUGAUAUAAAGAGCUGCUGGAAAGCCUCCAAGAAGAGUUCAGGAUGGAAGUUAAACAGCCUGAGUUGUUAUGGUUCAGCAAACAACAUCUCUUUUGUUUGGUAGAUCCUACAGUUUCUUAAUAAUUUUGGAACAUAGAACAAUAAUGUCUCACAGCUAGGUGCCCAUGGCUUGCUAUAAGAGCCAUCAACACAGGGGACUAAGUCCACAGACUCCAGCUUGUAAAUCCUGUGCCCUGCCAGAAGACAGCUGAAACAGAUACAUGUCUGGCUGCUACCAGAAGUCACUGAAUUCGAAGCCAGGAUCCAAACACUGCUCAAACACUUGACAUUCAGAAGGGGGAAAUAUUCACAUUGAUGUGAUUUGAAAUGACAGCAAUUUAGAGUAGAGACUACAGUUGAUGAGAGAGUGAAGAUCCAGAUUUCACAGAAGGGAAAGAGAACAUCUAGUUACAAACUGUGGAUGGCAUUCAGUGGAGAAGACCUUUCUCUCACACAACCCUGGAUAGCCUUGGACUGAGUUGCUUAAGGACUUCUGUUAAACAUUUUGCUUUCCAAAGACCUUAAAACAUGGUGUGCUACUGAGGGUUUUUCAGUCCCAGGUCGUUAUCUGAGUUGGCACAUAAGGCUGAGUACAGCUGCCAGUGAACUGGGAUCACUGAAGUUCUAUGCCACUGUCUGAAGCUAUCAGGAUUUUAAGAGGUGGAUAAGAUGGUAAGGGCUGGGUUUUGUCUGAUUGUUGCAUUUUUAUGAUUUUCUACCCAAUUUGGUGAAAUUACAGUAUUCAUAAUUGCAAGCAUUGUAGGUAUUUAUGCGUGCAUGUAAUUUACCAACUUUAAUGAAUAAAUAAGCACCUAACUGCUGUGGCAAGAGAUGCUCCCCAAAACUUUGAAUAAUAAUAAAUAAUACUGCCACAGUGGAGUGCUCAGACUGGAACAAUUGCCCCAUGUGUCAUUACACCCAUACAAUAAACCAUUUAAAACUGUUUUAAAUGCUUUCUGCUAUCACUGGUGGUGGUAUAAUAAUUUUAUAUGGUUCAUUUGCUGCAAUACUUAAUUUUCUUUAGUGCUUCUGGAAGGAGUGAUUAUUAUCAGAAGAAAUGACUAUAACUGUAAGACUUAGAAACUAUAAGACUGUGUUAUUACAUGUUCAGUUUCCAUCAGGAAUUUCUCAAUCCAUAUCAGACUGGUUUGCAGUAUUUGCAGUGGAAUGUCACUGUUCAACCCGUCGCAUUUUUCAGCUCAAAAACCUUGUAGUUUGGUUCUGUUCAUCAUUGUUCCUUCUGUUGUAUGCUGUGCACAAAUGUCCUACAAACAAGGCGGGUGAAUUCAUGGGUUAUGUGCCGUGGUACAUUAGACAUGUGGAGUUAGUCAUAUGCCUGCAUUAGCCAUGUCCAGGGCUCCUGCCCACUUGACAUCAUUACUGACACUACUCUCUGUGCCUCUGGCUUUAUCACUGUCACCCCCUGGAAAUGUAGUAAUGAGAAAUUACAAUUUCCUCUGAAAAGUUUCCUUUCGACAUUUUGGGACUAACUCCUCCAAAAUAUUCACCAAACAAAAUAUUUUUUUUACGUUAAGUUUUUUCAAAUGAAAUUCAGCCACUCAUUCGAGGUAACAGUAUCCAUUUAGAGUUGCACUAGACUUUAACAACUGCACUCGAAAUACUAAUUCAGUUCGAUGCUUCGGACUGUCCCUACAUUGCAAUGUCUGCAACUGAAUACAAAAGUAUGAGUAUUGAUUGAAAAAGUAACAUAGAUAAUACAUAAUCUGUGUAAUUUGAAAAAAGUUCCUAGAGCCAUGUCGCUUUUUGAGGCAUCCUUGAAGACAAGAUGCUGCAUCUCAAGGACUUAUCUUCAGACUUGCUUCUUGGCAAAUUGAUCUUUUCAAUUGCUUUUCCUUGCUUGUCAGAUUUUUAUGCCGGUCUUUUCAGUAAAUGAGUUGUUUAUACAUAUCACCCUUCAGUUAGCUUUAAGUAGAUGUUUAAACUGUGUUACUACUUCAUUUUUUUAAAGGGACUUGCAAGUCUGGCAACUCCAUAGGGGUAGAAAGGCUUAAAACAGUAUUACUCACAGCAGAAAUGAUUAAGGGAAGGCUCUUCAGAGUUCACUUGUGUGUUCAAAGUGUGGGUGUCAUUAUGUUUAUUGAGAUGGCUGUUAACAAAGCAUCAGAAACACAGAAACAGUGAGCAUCCUUACGGCCUUUUCUAGUGCCUGUUGCCCUCUGUGAGUACUCAAAAACCAGCCAGGAGCAUGGGGAGUGAAGGCAACAUCCGAUCAGAUCCAUUUCAUGGACAAGUGCAGUACUUUGUUUUGAAAAAGCAAAAAUCAGUGAGCAUGAUGAAGAACCAUUCCCAAACCUGCACUUGCCUCCUGAGCAGCAGGUAAAUACUUUGCCUGACAAAAUACUUUUGCCUGACAGCAGUAGGAAAGCAGGAAGCCUGGCGUCAACGCUGAGCAGUGUGAGAAACAGAGGGCCUUCUGCUGGAGGAGCUAACAGAGCUAAGAGGAGGAGUGACCAACAUAUAAAAUAUACUACUACCAUUAAGUGUCAAGAUACCAGCCUGAUGGUAUACCAGCCUUGGAGAAGAAAACGCAGGGGGCAGAAGCCCAGGCCUGUCUCAUGCUUCAUCUUAGCCACUCCUGUUAACACUGGUUCUUGCUAGCAGGGUUCUUGUUUAACACUGAAGUGGGCUGUCUGGAGAGGCGUUGAGUCUCUAUCUUUGGAGAUAUUCAAGGACUGACAGGACAGAGUCCUGGGCAGCCUGCUGUAGCUGACCCUGCUCUGACUGGGGCUGGAAUAGAUGAUUUCCAGUGGUGCCUGCUAGCCUCAGCUAUUCAGCAAGUGCAUUGCAGAGGCAGCAUUUGCUAAGGAGGAGCAUCACAAAUGUGCGAACAGUUGGGCCUCACUCCAGGGUCUCAGUGUGCCCCACACUCUCUCAGUGGAUGUCCUCUGUAAGGGCCUGAAGCACAGACAGCUGCAUGGCUUUCCCAAGUAAGAAGCAAGAGGCAUUGUGUGGAAGGGCAGAGAGCUGGAGCUGCAUUUCUAGAAGACCAGGCCAUCAGCCCUCCCUCCUUCUGGCUGUCCCUGGCUGCUUUGCAUGGACCGAUGUCCUCCUUUCAGUACUGGAGCAUUAUAAUUCACAGACUGUGCUUGCUGCCAAACCUCUGGUGCCCUGAAAGGCUGUUUGUACCCAGUGGAACUGAAGAGAAAUCACUCCACUACAAGUACAUUAAGCACAUGAACAGCUCUGACAAGAGGUGGAGCAAUAAUUUGUUUGGUAAGCUGGCUUAUGCUUUAUUGAAUUCAUUUACUGGCUGUCCAACAGCUCCAUCAGGCGCUUUUGCAGCAGCCAGACAUAGAGACAUGACCUCCAGUCUAGAGUCAAGUCCAAAGGUCCUCCCCACUUCUUUCCUACAGUGGUAAAAUGAAAAUCUCCUCAAGCAAGCAGAGGUGUCCUGCCAUAGUCACUUACAGUAUGUGCUGUGCAAACUAAACAUUAGCAUCAUUUCAGCAGAAGCAGCUAGGUGCAGCUGUGCCAAGCUUUAGCAGGUUAAUGUGCUUUGGACAUGUCUAAAGUGCUUAACAGUUUGAUGUGGCAAGGGCAGAAAAUACAAUUUUAAUCAAAUCUGAGCAUUGUUCUCUCUCCAGGUAUAAAAGCUUCAUGAAUGCAACAACCUGUAAUACCUCACAUUCAGUUUUUUCAUGCAGGUUGAAUACAAAUUGUAGCAUGUCUUUAGCUACACUGAUGUGGUAAUAGAGACAGAUUGCAAAUUUACCAGUGAAAUACUGAAGAGGACAUUUUGUCUUAAUGACUUUGCGAAGUGGGAGAAACAAGUCAUCAGAAGUCUACUUUUCUAAAGGGAAGCCUGAGAAAAGCAAUUCAGUGUUGGCCACACAUGUAUAAAGCAAUUAUGGUAAAUAAGCCAUAAUACAGAAAAAUGUUAAUCUAUUUUGUGAGAGAUAAGGCAAAGGUUGGCUGGCUUCUAUGGGCUCAGCAUUGCAUUGCAACCUACACACUCAAAAUGUAUUGUACAUAAUAAAUGGAGUGGGAAUAGCUGAUGAAUAUCACAAAACAGAGACACAGAGAGCUUUGCUGCACCACUGGAUAAUGUUCGGGUAUUUGCUAGUGACAGAUGGUAGGCUUUUUCAUCCGUAUCUGUGUGCCCUGGAUGGAGGAUUGUUUGAUGACACAUGAACAGUUACUGUCACUCUCUUCUUUGUCAUCUUGUAGCAUUCUUACAGCUUUGAGGGCCUUAUGUGUUUAAUCAUUUAUGCAGGGAUUUUAUGAGGCAGGUGCUUAAGAGUGUGGUAGCAGGGAAGAUAAAACAAAUAAAUUAAAGUCAGUUCCAGUUACUCUUAAUCCCAGCAAAGGCACAGACUGACAUCACUUAACUGCUCCUAAAUGGCCUGGGUCUUGUAUUACCAUUGGAGCUGACGACACUUGUGGUGUUAACUGAUAGCAUGCAGAGGCCAAAUGAAGGAACACACCAACCAACCAAAGGAACAAAACCAUGUAUGGCCAAAUUCCCUCCUCUGUGGAUGCCAGUGGGAAGGCACAACAUGUGUUGAAUACCAGAAAAUUAAUUAUGAACUGAAAUACCCUUCAGACCAAUCUUACAUU